AAGGAACUUGGAUGCUAGCUUCAUAAGAAGUUGUUUAUCUCUCAUUCUCCUCUUCAACACAUCAAUGAUGACCUGGCUAUGCUCAGCACUAUCACCCAUCAUUACUUGAAGUGGAGUGGGGGCCUCUUCAUCGCAGAAGACGGACGUCCUGUUCCAGGACUGUACAAGAAACUGGUCAAGAUUUCCCAGGACAAAGAAUGUGUGAAACUGAAGAAGUGGCUUUGCAGCAUAUAAAAACACAUCUACUGGACAGCCGCUAUGUCAACAUCAGGGCCAGAGAGAGUGGCAAAGUGGACCUCCAUCCUCAACCAUGUCCAAGACAGGCUGGAGAUGUAGCGAGGGACGUUCAC